rnacentral:rRNA from 1 species
UACGGAGGGUGCAAGCGUUAUCCGGAUUCACUGGGUUAAAGGGUGCGUAGGCGGGCAGGUAAGUCCGUGGUGAAAUCUCUGAGCUUAACUCAGAAACUGCCAUGGAUACUAUUUGUCUUGAAUGUUGUGGGAGGUAAGGCGGAAUAAUGGUCAUGUAGCGGUGAAAUGCUUAGAUAUGACAUAGAAUACCAAUUGCGAAGGCAGCUUACUACACAAAUAUUGACGCUGAGGCACGAAAGCGUGGGGAUCAAACAGG